CUCCGGAGGCUGAAGCACGAGAAUCGCUUGAACUCGGGAGGCAGGUGUUGUGGUGAGCUGAGCUCACGCCAUUGCACUUCAGCCUGGGCAACAAGAGCAAAACUGUCUCAAAAAAAAAAAAAAAAAAAAAAAA